GUCCAUCUAAACAUUAUAUUCUAUUAAAAUAAUACAAUACUAUACAAUUUAUUAUAUUAUUAUGUAAAAACUAGGCAAAUCACAUAGUCUAAGGGAAAAAUUACUUUCUAUUCCUAUUGUUUCACUAUUUACCAAAAAUCCCUUUUUUAUAUUAGUCCGAAUACUUAAUAUAACAAAAUGAUACUUGAAUUAGAGCGGAUGGAUACUUUAUAUGUUAGUUAAUUAUCUGUUACGGCGUUAAAAAAGGGAUAACAUUUAUCCUACGAUUCACAUCCCUUCCAAUCCAACGAUUUUGUUCCUAUCUUUACGCCUAAAAUCAUUCCCAUAUAUCAACAAUUACACCAAUUACUCAAUUUUUUAAUUUUAAAUCUAUUCUCUCAAGUUCAUCAAUUUCAAGUUCCUAAAGGGGUUGUAGGAUUCAUUAACCAUGGCGAAUCAUAAUAUUUAGAAGGACAAAACUUCAUCUUUUAAAGCAAAUGUGGAAGAACUUCAUCCCUGUUGCAUUUGCUGAAUUCUUUAGCGAUGAAGUCAACAUUCAUCUAAUGGUUUUUGAGUUGACUACCUUCGCACAAGAUAUCGACACUAUUAUGGAGUACGAUCUCGACAAGGUCAAGGUGAGAUAUGUUAGCGAUAACGAUGAUCCAUUAAAGCUAAAGAGCUAUUUCACUCCACAACAAUAAGAUGACUUGGUUCACAUAAAUUAGUGAUUAUGUACCAAUUCACAGACAACUUUGAUGUUUAUUGUUUUUAAGAUACAUUAACUAAUAUUUUGGAGGA